rnacentral:tRNA from 1 species
GGCGAGGUGGCCGAGUGGUUAAGGCGAUGGACUGCUAAUCCAUUGUGCAGAGCACGCGUGGGUUCAAAUCCCAUCCUCGUCG